rnacentral:rRNA from 1 species
AGAGUUAAAAAGAGUUGGGCUUGAUCAUGACUCAGGACGAACGCUGGCGGCGUGCCUAAUACAUGCAAGCGGAGCCGGCUGAACCAACAGAUUCAUUUGGGUGAUGACGUGGGGAACGCGAACGGCGGAUCGGUGAGUGCUUAGUGGGGACCCUGCCCAAUAGGGUGGGAUACCACUUGGAAACAGGUGCUAAUACCGGAUAAGAAAGCGUUAUAAAAGGCGGCGUAAGCUGUCGCUAUGGGAUGGCCCCGCGGUGCAUUAGCUAGUUGGUAGGGUAACAGCCUACCAAGGCAAUGAUGCAUAGCCGAGUUGAGAGACUGAUCGGCCACAUUGGGACUGAGACACGGCCGAAACUCCUACGGGAGGCAGCAGUAGGGAAUCUUCCACAAUGGACGAAAGUCUGAUGGAGCAACGCCGCGUGAGUGAAGAAGGUUUUCGGACCGUAAAGCUCGGUUGGUGGUGAAGAAGGAUAGAGGGGGUAACUGGCCUUUAUUUGACGGUAAUCAACCAGAAAGUCACGGCUAACUACGUGCCAGCAGCCGCGGUAAUACGUAGGUGGCAAGCGUUGUCCGGAUUUAUUGGGCGUAAAGCGAGCGCAGGCGGAAGAAUAAGUCUGAUGUGAAAGCCCUCGGCUUAACCGAGGAACUGCAUCGGAAAGGGUUUUUCUUGAGUGCAGAAGAGGAGAGUGGAACGGGAUGUGCCGCGGUGGAAUGCGUAGAUAUAUGGAAGAACGGGAGUGGCGAAGGCGGCUCUCUGGUCGGGAACUGACGCUGAGGCUCGAAAGCAUGGGUAGCGAACAGGAUUAGAUACCCUGGUAGUCCAUGCCGUAAACGAUGAGUGACAAGUGUUGGGAGGUUUCCGCCUCUCAGUGCUGCAGCUAACGCAUUAAGCACUCCGCCUGGGGAGUACGUAAGCACUCCGCCUAGUAAGACCGCAAGGUUGAAACUCAAAGGAAUUAACGGGGACCCGCACAAACGGUGCCGCAUGUGGUUUAAUUCGAAGCAAAACGAAGAACCUUACCAGGUCUUGACAUCUAGUGCAAUCCGUAGAGAUACGGCGUUCCCUUCGGGGACAAAAAGACAGGUGGUGCAUGGCUGUCGUCAGCUCGUGUCGUGAGAUGAACGGUUAAGUCCCGCAACGAGUUCGGACCUUGUCAUUAGUUGCCAGCAUUAAGUUGGGCACUCUAACCCGACUGCCGGUGACAAACCGGAGGAAGGUGGGGAUGACGUCAAGUCAUCAUGCCCCUUAUGACCUGGGCUACACACGUGCUACAAUGGACAGUACAACGAGGAGCAAGCCUGCGAAGGCAAGCGAAUCUCUUAAAGCUGCACUCAGUUCGGACUGCAGUCUGCAACUCGACUGCACGAAGCUGGAAUCGCUAGUAAUCGCGGAUCAGCACGCCGCGGUGAAUACGUUCCCGGGCCUUGUACACACCGCCCGUCACACCAUGGGAGUCUGCAAUGCCCAAAGCCGGUGGCCUAACCUUCGGGAAGGAGCCGUCUAAGGCAGGGCAGAUGACUGGGGUGAAGUCGUAACAAGGUAGCCGUAGGAGAACCUGCGGCUGGAUCACCUCCUUA